UACGUAGGGUGCGAGCGUUAAUCGGAAUUACUGGGCGUAAAGCGCGUGUAGGCGGCUUGGCAAGUCGGGUGUGAAAUCCCUCAGCUCAACUGAGGAAGUGCGCCCGAAACUGCUUAGCUUGAGUGCCGGAGAGGAUGGCGGAAUUCCCCAAGUAGAGGUGAAAUUCGUAGAUAUGGGGAGGAACACCGGUGGCGAAGGCGGCCAUCUGGACGGUAACUGACGCUGAGA
rnacentral:rRNA from 1 species